rnacentral:rRNA from 1 species
UACGUAGGUGGCAAGCGUUGUCCGGAUUUAUUGGGUUUAAAGGGUGCGUAGGCGGCCUUAUAAGUCAGUGCUGAAAUAUCCCGGCUUAACCGGGAGGGUGGCAUUGAUACUGUAGGGCUUGAGUAGAGUUGAGGUUGGCGGAAUUGACGGUGUAGCGGUGAAAUGCGUAGAUAUCGAGAGGAACACCAGUGGCGAAGGCGAGUCUCUGGACGACUCCUGACACUGAGGCACGAAAGCUAGGGGAGCAAACAGG